AUUGCCCCAGUAACGGCGAGUGAAGCGGCAAGAGCUCAAAUUUUAAAUCUGGGGUCUCCGGCCCCCGAGUUGUAAUUUGGAGAGGCAUCUUCGGGAGGAGCGCUGGCCAAUGUUCCUUGGAACAGGACGUCGCAGAGGGUGAGAAUCCCGUGCCAGGCCAGCCGCGCCCUUCCACGUGAAGCGCCUUCGACGAGUCGAGUUGUUUGGGAAUGCAGCUCCAAGUGGGUGGUAAAUUUCAUCUAAAGCUAAAUACCGGCGAGAGACCGAUAGCGCACAAGUAGAGUGAUCGAAAGAUGAAAAGCACUUUGAAAAUAGAGUCAAAAAGUACGUGAAAUUGUUGAAAGGGAAGCGCUUGAGACCAGACUCGGAGCGAGGCAAACAUCUGGCCCCGCGGGGCCGUGCACUUGCCUCGGGCCGGGCCAGCAUCAGUUGGUGCGGCGGGAGAAAGGCGCGGGGAAUGUGGCUCCCCUCGGGGAGUGUUAUUAGCCCCGUGCUCAAUGCCGCCCGCACCGACUGAGGACCGCGCUUCGGCUAGGAUGCUGGCUUAAUGGCCUUCAGCGACCCGUCUUGAAACACGGACCAAGGAGUCUAACAUCUAUGCGAGUGUUUGGGUGCCAAACCCUUUCGCGGAAUGAAAGUGAACGGAGGUGGGAACCCCUCGCCGGGCGCACCAUCG
rnacentral:rRNA from 1 species